UGUUUCAUAUUACAGGGGCCUCAAGGAGCGAGAGGAGAUGCAGGAAUUCCAGGGAAACCAGGACCUAAAGGCCUGCAGGCCCAGCCUGGAGCCAAAGGGGAGACAGGACCUGAUGGUGAGAAGGGUGGGGUUGGAAGAACUGGUGUGAAGGGAGAGAAAGGAGACACGGUAA